rnacentral:rRNA from 1 species
UCAGGAUGAACGCUAGCUACAGGCUUAACACAUGCAAGUCGAGGGGCAGCAUUGGGAUAGCUUGCUAUUCUAGAUGGCGACCGGCGCACGGGUGAGUAACGCGUAUCCAACCUUCCCUAUAGUAGAGAAUAGCCCGGCGAAAGUCGGAUUAAUGCUCUAUGUUGUGUUUUGAGGACAUCUGACGAACACCAAAGGUUCACCGCUAUAGGAUGGGGAUGCGUCUGAUUAGCUUGUUGGCGGGGUAACGGCCCACCAAGGCGACGAUCAGUAGGGGUUCUGAGAGGAAGGUCCCCCACAUUGGUACUGAGACACGGACCAAACUCCUACGGGAGGCAGCAGUGAGGAAUAUUGGUCAAUGGGCGAGAGCCUGAACCAGCCAAGUAGCGUGCAGGAAUGACUGCCCUAUGGGUUGUAAACUGCUUUUAUCAGGGAAUAAAGUGCGGCACGUGUGCCGUUUUGUAUGUACCUGAUGAAUAAGGACCGGCUAAUUCCGUGCCAGCCGCCGC